GAGAAUAUAGCUCAGUUGUAGAGCACAUGCUUAGCAUGCACGAGGUCCUAGGUUCAAUCCCCAGUACCUUCA
rnacentral:tRNA from 1 species